rnacentral:piRNA from 1 species
UGCUGGGGUCCUGUGUGUCGUGCAUUGU